GCCCUGUUGUGCUCACAAGAGAGUAAAGGACAUCUCCAUCCUGUCUCCACCAACAUCCCCCCUCCAACCCCCCCCCCCCAAUAAAAAACACCUGCAAGCUUCAAAUAGAGCAAAUUUCAUAGGUGAGGCUACACUGGAAUGGAGGUAAAUGCUGAUGUCAGGGACACAGAGCCUCAGGGGAUCACAGCCACAUGCAAGGGAACAAGGCCUGGAGUCCUGAAAGAGACCCUUGCCGAAAGCCAGGACGCCUGAAGUGGCUCAGUGAAAAAGCGGGCAAGGGGAAAUUGUCCAGAAUCAGAGGGAACCCAUUAGGGAACCUACCUGCUUCUACCAGCUUCCAGCGGGAAAAUUAGCAGUCAUCAGUUCCUCGAGGGACUGUAACUAUCGUGACAAGAAUCCGCGAAGGGAAUCCACGCCGGGGGCCGGCGCCGGCUAGUCCCAGAAUUCCCAGAAUCCCCGUCCUCACGCACUUCCGGUCAGAGCGGAAGACCAGAGGUUUGUGGGAGAUUUGGAGGGAGGGAGGGAGGGAGGGAGAGAAUACGCGCGUGUUGCCGACACCCUCGUGCCGGCUUAGAACCUCGCCGCCCGCAGGCCACGGCCGGCCUAGCGCGGCUGCUCCUCCCACCCAGCCUCCUUCGGCGUCUCUGACUCUGGGGCCGCGGGUGUGUUUAGCCACCUGACGAGGGGCCCACGCCACCGACGUCAAAGGUGGGUUUCCAAAUUCAUGGAGGAAUGGUUUAGAUCUGCACGUUUUCCCUAGCCUUGGAGAUCUAUGUUUUCCCCGCCCUCACUGCUUCUAGUUCUGACUUCAAAGCCCCCAGGAGAUUUAAAGAAGCAAAUUGAAGACAAUCUCCUUUGUCUCCAUCAAAAGAAGAUUCCACAAAGCAGCAGCCCUCUCUGCAGAGCCUGUGAUUGCUCUGUGUCCACGGUUAACAGCAUGUCAGCCGGAAAAGGGUCCGCGCUGGGGACCUGAGGAACCUGCCAAGGCAACAGAAACGGGGCGACAGAGCACAGGUAGCCAACACCGGGCAGCCAAAAAGCCCAGCCCCCCGGUACAGAACCACAACCCGCCUGUACAACGGACAAGGCUUCAUCAGGAGCUGAUCCCUUGCGCUGCCACCAGGGUCAGCGGCUCCGGCAACCAACACCCACAUCCCGUCACUGCUGGUUUUCUCCCCGGGGUGCUCAUGGUGGCUGGGGCACCCCAAAGGCACUUACUGGCUCCACCCGGGGGGUCACUUUCUUCUGCUGCCCUGCCCCUGCCCCUGCGCCAGGGGCCCCUCCGCACCUCCUUCCAAUACUUGUGCCAACUGGUAGAACAACUUCCCAUUUUAGCCAAAUCAUAAGCCUGGGUUUGUGAUGCAUAAGCCAGAAUGGAGAACCCUGAAUGUUAUGUAGUGAAAUAAUCCGUCACAUAAAUGCGUUAGUUUGAAUAUGGAGUAGACAUCAGACGACAUUAUGAAAUUAUUGAUGAUUUUCUUAGGUGUGAUAAUAGUGCUACAGUAGUUAGGAAAAUCUAAAUACACACUCCUGUAGGUGGAGAUGGGUAAGUUCUACGUAGCAAAAUAUAAAUAUUGAAUCUAGAUGAAGCGUAUGGCUGUUCAUUACACUGUUAUUCCAGCUUUCUCACGAUUUGAACAUUUUCUUUAAAAAAAAAAAGAUUUUCUUUAUUUACUUGAGAGCAAGUGAGAAACCACAAGUGGGGGGAGUGGCAGAGGCCUAGGAAGAAGCAGACCCCCACUGAACAGGAAGGCCCAUGCCAUGUGGGGCUCUGAGCCCAGGGCUCCGGGAUCAUGACGCUGCACCCGCUGAGCCACCAAGGUGUGCCCUACUUUGAACAUUUUCAUAAGAAAAAAACUGCAAUUAGCAAACAGCCAAAUAAAUACUAUUAUUUUAAUGAUCUAAUGCUUUUUAUAACCAUAAUUUAUAGUUAGAAAAAAAUAAACUAUUACGUGAAGAUGUCUCACGUCAGGAUAACCUAAUCAUUGAGAAAUCUAAGAGAAGAUGCUGGCAGGAAGUGACAGCUGUGCUCUGCGGGGGUUGGGGCCUGGCUGGCCUCACAGCCCUCAGGGAGGGCAGGGCAGGACCGUUCUUCACCACUGUGUGGGGCGAGCAGAGGCCAAGAGGAAGACGAAGGCGGGGGAGACGUCUGUCUAAGGAUGUUCAAUGCAGCAGUUUAUAAAGGAAAACAACUGGCAACGGACCAACUGCCUCUCACUUGGGGGUUGAUAAAGCCACAUGGUGGAAGGAUACUCAGCCAUCACCACUUAGGAUAUAGAUCAUAUACGUUGCCCCUGAAAUAUGUCCGUAAUUGAAAAAGGCACCUUAGGUAAUGACAGGGAGACAUGAUAACUCUUUUCUUUUUUUUUGGUCUUUACUUUUAUUUCCCAAAAG
rnacentral:lncRNA from 1 species